AUUGAACGCUGGCGGCAGGCCUAACACAUGCAAGUCGAACGAGUGGCGGACGGGUGAGUAAUGUCUGGGAAACUGCCCGAUGGAGGGGGAUAACUACUGGAAACGGUAGCUAAUACCGCAUACCAUCGGAUGUGCCCAGAUGGGUUUAGCUAGUAGGUGGGGUAACGGCUCACCUAGGCGACGAUCCCUAGCUGGUCUGAGAGGAUGACCAGCCACACUGGAACUGAGACACGGGCCAGACUCCAACGGGAGGCAGCGUUGGGGAAUAUUGCACAAUGGGCGCAAGCCUAAUGCAGCCAUGCCGCGUGUAUGAAAAAGGCCUUCGGGUUGUAAAGUACUUUCAGCGAGGGUGCGUUACUCGCAGAAGAAGCACCGGCUAACUCCGUGCAAGCAGCCGCGGUAAUUC
rnacentral:rRNA from 1 species